rnacentral:rRNA from 1 species
UGAUUCCUACCSGGGAAUCGAGUCUGGCAAACAUAGAUAGCUAGGAUUAGGCAGGGUCGUAACAUUGUAAGCUUGUACGUGGGCGCUCUGUGUAAACCGACUGGGUGGCGUCACCCUGCCCUAUAAACCUCUGUAUCAAGCAGCUCUGCUUUGCAUCUUCUAGAAUUAGGGGUGGGUACCUGGUGAGUCCGUAGGGGGUCAAACCCUAGAUCUGGGUGGGUUGCAUUGACGUCGCAAGCUUGCAGUCAGACGAAGACCUCCAUGGCCUAUGGACGGAUUUAAGAGUCCUCUUCACGUGAUCAUUUGAUUUCAUCCCUUCUGUGAACAAUCUCUUGUUGCUUCCGUGUUGCCUGUAGCUUCCUCUGAUCCAAGCCUUGGUGAAGGAGGAAGUUUCCUGAAAAGCCUUGGGGUUGCAUCCCAAGGGCGCACGGUCAUAGCGUUUAAACUCCAGUUAUUUCUAUCGUUCAGGUCUGAGUGUUGACAACACAGCAAACAAGUUAAAACUUUCAACAACGGAUCUCUUGGUUCUCGCAUCGAUGAAGAACGCAGCGAAAUGCGAUAAGUAGUGUGAAUUGCAGAAUUCAGUGAAUCAUCGAAUCUUUGAACGCACAUUGCACCUCCUGGUAUUCCGGGAGGUAUGCCUGUUCGAGCGUCAUCAAACACACCCUCAAGUGCCUUGCACCUGGACCUGGCGGAAGAUUAACCUUGGUUGAUCCCCUCUUAAAUCCUUCAGCAGAAGCUGCGAAAAACCUCAGCGUGAUAUCACUAAUUCGCUUUUGAGGGUUGUUGCACUCUGGCUGUUGAAAGCUCCCCAGCAUUUCUAUGUUGACCUCGG